rnacentral:rRNA from 1 species
GACGAACGCUGGCGGCGUGCUUAACACAUGCAAGUCGAACGGAAAGGCCCUGCUUUUGUGGGGUGCUCGAGUGGCGAACGGGUGAGUAACACGUGAGUAACCUGCCCUUGACUUUGGGAUAACUUCAGGAAACUGGGGCUAAUACCGGAUAGGAGCUCCUGCUGCACGGUGGGGGUUGGAAAGUUUCGGCGGUUGGGGAUGGACUCGCGGCUUAUCAGCUUGUUGGUGAGGUAGUGGCUUCCAACGGCUUUGACGGGUAGCCGGCCUGAGAGGGUGACCGGCCUCAAUGGGCCUGAGGGACGGACCAGUCUGCUACGGGCGGCAGUGGUGGGAAACAUUGCGCAGCAGGCGGACGUGUGAUGCGACGGCGUCGGGUUCGGGAUGCCGGCCUACGGGUUGUGAACCGCUUUGGCCGUUGCUGAGGAGUGCGUGACGGUAAUGGAUCAGGAAGCACCGGCUAACUACGUG